rnacentral:miRNA from 1 species
CUGGGAGAUGGAUGUUUACUUCA